UACGGGGGGGGUAAGCGUUGUUCGGAAUUACUGGGCGUAAAGGGCUCGUAGGCGGCCAACUAAGUCAUACGUGAAAUCCCUCAGCUUAACUGGGGAACUGCGUGUGAUACUGGAUGGCUUGGAUUUGGGAGAGGGAUGCGGAAUUCCAGGUGUAGCGGUGAAAUGCGUAGAUAUCUGGAGGAACACCGGUGGCGAAGGCGGCAGUCCUGGACCAAUAUUGACGCUGAGGAGCGAAAGCCGGGGAGCAAAG
rnacentral:rRNA from 1 species